UGGCAGCCCACCCCCUCCUCACUUGCUCUCACUUUUCCACUCCCCACUCUUUCCUCCACUCCCACACACUCUCCUCCUACCUCUCCCCACGAAAUUGCUGCUCCUCCUAGCUUCAUGGCCGGCCAUGGCCAUGAAAAGCUCUCCAAGAUGAAGCUCUCCCCCUCCCUCAAGCUCCCCCUCUCCAUGAGAGCAUCCCUCUCCUUCUUCUCCCCAAUCCUAGAUGGUUUUCUCUCAUCUUCUUCUUCCUCCCUUGCUAAGUUUGGAUCUUGAUGCAGGUGCAUGUUGGUCCAAGCAUGGAGAAGCUUCACCUAUCCUCAGAUCUGAAGUUCUUGACCAAAAUUCGUCCAAAACCUUGCAGGGAUAUUUGGUUUAUACCAUGGUGAUAACCGAGAGAGGCAAUUGCUAAGUUGUGACGCACUCAUACCUCUACUAGAUGCGAACACUUCUGGAGAAGAAGAAGAAGUGGAAUCGGACGGGGAUUUUAUUUUUAUUGUUGGAAUACAUAUUUGAUGGAGUUGAAGAAGUCCAGGGACAAAUAAGCCAACCAAGGCAAGCCAUCUCUUGAUCUCUGAAUGUUGAAUCACAUAUCGUGGUUACUUUGUUGUUAUUCUUGUCUCUCGAUAUAUUUUGUGUGGUAUCUACUUAUGUUGAUGGAGCGUGCUCACCAUGAGCAUGUUGGAUUCUCUUUGACACCUCACCUACCAUCCCCUUUAGGGAAAUGGUGGUAAUUAUCAUGAUCUUGGUGUACCUUCUAAGUGUGAGGGAUAUGCCCACUUAUCUUGUGUGUGUCGACCUCUUGACACCCUUCUUGAACCCCUUGUUGAUGUUCUGCAUACUUACUCUCGAGUAUGUUGAACCCCUUGUUGAUCUUAUGCAUGCAUACCCUGAGCAUGUAUGCCCCCUUGACCAUCUAUAUUAUCAUCUUCUUAGCGGUAUGAUGAUUAACAUCUUGAACCUUGUUGGAUCUUCCAACUUAUGUUGUCCCUAUACAUGCUUAUCCUAAGUAUGUAUGAUCCCCUUAACACCUCAAUUAUCAUCCCCUUAGUGGUAUGAUGGCUAGCAUCAUGUCAUUGUGACUCUUAGUUCCUUCAUAAAACUAUAGGUUGGGAACCCCCUUGGAAAAAUACCUUGUUGAAAAGAAUUUUUGAAAACCUUGGGUGAGUUGGACUUACCCAAGCGUGUGUUUAUGAAAGGAAAUGAUCUUGGCAAAGAUGGUUGAAAAGAAAAUCUUGUUUUCGAAAACUUUGGCGCCUAAGUAUUCACCCGUGACAAUUAACCCGCGCAACCAUAGCUACUCCAACAUGGGCACGGAGCUUAACUUGACGUUUGCUCUUCUUAGCAUGAGGCACCGCACAACUAUACAAGGGUACGGUUACCCCCGAGUCCGGGUUGUCAAGGUUGGGACAAUAGUAUAACGGGAGGCCUUCGGGGCUGACCCGUCCGGAAGACACUAUGGGUCUCCUGGCUUGGCGGUGGAGCCACGCUCAAAAGGAGGUGAGCUGCCACGGUGCCGGGGAGGUACAUACUCCAUAGGGUAGGACCUCGUGUUAAGUCGAAUGGGCGAAAGGUUAUGUCCGGGUAUCCGUCGUGGCAUAUGUUGUUAUGCGGGGAUGAUGCCCACACGAUAGGUAUCCGGAUAGUUGUGGGGAAAGUGUGCAAACUCUGCAGAGUCAAAUCUAUUCGAAUAGCCGUGUCCGCGGUCAUGGACGGUUGAAAUGGCUGUUGCUUAGCCUGAUGAGUUUUGUUUGAGAAAGUGUUUACUAAAGAA